rnacentral:rRNA from 1 species
AUACAGAGGGUGCGAACGUUGCUCGGAUUUACUGGGCGUAAAGCGCGUGUAGGCGGCCGUAAAAGUCGGGUGUGAAAUCCCGGGGCUCAACCCCGGAACUGCACCCGAAACUAUAUGGCUAGAGUCCCGGAGGGGGUGGCGGAAUUUCCGGUGUAGAGGUGAAAUUCGUAGAUAUCGGAAGGAACACCAGUGGCGAAGGCGGCCACCUGGACGGUGACUGACGCUGAGAUGCGAAAGCGUGGGGAGCAAACAGGAUUAGAAACCCCAGUAGUCC